GACGAACGCUGGCGGCGUGCUUAACACAUGCAAGUCGAACGGAAAGGCCCUGCUUUUGUGGGGUGCUCGAGUGGCGAACGGGUGAGUAACACGUGAGUAACCUGCCCUUGACUUUGGGAUAACUUCAGGAAACUGGGGCUAAUAUCGGAUAGGAGCUCCUGCUGCAUGGUGGGGGUUGGAAAGUUUCGGCGGUUGGGGAUGGACUCGCGGCUUAUCAGCUUGUUGGUGGGGUAGUGGCUUACCAAGGCUUUGACGGGUAGCCGGCCUGAGAGGGUGACCGGCCACAUUGGGACGGAGGUACGGCCCAGACGGCUACGGGAGGAAGCAGUGGAGAAUAUUGCACAAAGGGCGGAAGCCUGAUGCAGCAACGCCGCGUGCGGGAAGACGGCCUUCGGGUUGUAAACCGCUUUCGCCUGUGACGAAGCGUGAGGGACGGGAAUGGGUAAAGAAGCACCGGCUAACUACGU
rnacentral:rRNA from 1 species